CUUUAGGCUACGGUGCUGGGAAGCACUUUAAGCCAGAACAGUCUGAUACAAGAGCUUUUUGCUCCCUUACUCCAAGGUGCUAUGAUUGACCAGUGAUCACAAAUAUUGUUUCUACACCAAGGGCUCCCUGCUCCAGUCUCCCCUCUUGGCACAGCAUCAGCAUGGUCAACACCCCCAGCUUCAACAAGACAAUCCACAAAAUUGGCAUCACAAUUUUUCUGCUGCUCUAAGCAGAAGUCCAAACAUAGAGAGGCGAGUAGUAACACCCAAAAAAAAGACCCCUAGUUCCCUUCCCACUCCAGAUCAGCACAGAGGUGUGACACAGGAGUAUCUGUGGGACUAACUUCCAGAGACACGUCUGCAACAGUCGCUUCCAGGAAAGCCACCUGCUUCCACUGCAUGCUGCAAUGGCUCAUCAGGCUCGUACGCGUGUGAUGCAGUCAGAGAGAAGAGGAAGUCCUGACCCAUUUGGUGUCAGCACGAGUUUCUGUUCUCCGAUGACUCCUACCUACCCCAAACUCCUCUCAGAGAGAAACAAGAGCAUAGCAGCUACAUCAGCUAGCAGCAAUGCAGCAAAAGCUCUGGCACAGAGGGGAAUGGAAAUGGAGAGGGCCUGCAUGGGGAAUGGAGAGCCAGAAACAAGGACUUAUGAAGACACCAGUCUCCUGUCACUCCAAUCAGUGUUCUCUGGGAUUUUACUUUUCAGGUAACAUGUCAAAUUAGACAAGAGCCCUACAGUACAUUAAACCUCCUCUGCAGAGAUUUUGGGUGAUCUCUUUUUGCUGCUAGUGUAGUUUUGAAAAAAAACCAACCAAAAACCAAAAUACAAUUGGCAUUAUAACCUGAAAUGGAGUCAGU